GGCCCCAUCAUCUAAUGGUUAGGAUUCAUGGUUUUCAUCCAUGCCAUAGGAGUUCAAAUCUCCUUGGGGUCACCA
rnacentral:tRNA from 2 species